rnacentral:lncRNA from 1 species
UGACCAUUUCCCCAGCAACCACUCCUAGACCAGGAUUAUUGAAGGACUGUUAGACGCCAGCUGACUCUGGAGGCUGCAGAGCUAGCUAUGAUCUGUGCUGGGACUAAAACCUGGGUUCUGACUUCUGGGUUGCUUCAUCUCCACCAGAACAAAUGAAUGACAAAACCCGAUGAAAGACAAAGCCAGAGUAAAUCCCUUCUCAUCUAUGUCACGGCAAAAGAUAUAGUAACAGCAAAAACAAGCUCUAAAAACCUUGUUUGUAAAAGGUUUGGUAAAACUGUUUCUUUAAAGAUAUUCCAUCAUUUGGACUUUAAUUUUGCUAGGCUCUCCCUACCCCACCAAAUUGUUAUUUCAUAUAAAAUAAUUGGA